AUAUGAUAAAAAAUAUCAAACCAUCGCCAUUUCUGAUAAAAAAAAUAAAAAGAAACCAUAUGAUUUUCCUUACUUUCAAAACACAACCAUUUUUUCUUCUCUCGUGACAGCCCAUCAGAUUCUGCAAACCUAUUUCUUGUUCUUCCUCUGUUGAUAACAACAAUUCUCAAACCUGGUCUCUGUUAACUCUCUUCCAUGGAUUAAAAAACUUGCUUCUAUUUUCUUUUACGUGUUCCUUUCUUCCUACCGGGCCUUUUCUUUAGUGCCAAUCCUGGGGAUACUCCAAGGUCAUUGUAAAAAUUGCAAUACAUGUGAUCUGCAUCAAAAUUCAAUUGCUUACAUCAGUUGUGUAGGUAAGGGGAAAAAGAAUUGGUUUUGGUCAUUUGGCUUCACUUUAUUAUAGAUCCGGUCUCAAAGUCGAAGAAAAAUAGUUAUCCUGGUAACUGGAGAUAAAGACCAACCACUAUUCAUUACUUGGUAAUACCUUCCUUCUCCCCUUUUAUUUCUAGGUUAACUUUUUGUAUCCACAUAUACUUCUAUUCAAGUACAAUGCCUAUUGUCGAAAUUUCUUUCGUAGGCUUCUAAAGUAAGAGUAGAUAUGUUAAUGAUAAAAUAUUUAAUUAUUAUAUUUCGUUGACGCCCUAUGUUUAUACACCAACUUAGAGAAUAUUUAAUGUCUUUUUACAUAAUUUGUUGGCCCUUAAUUAUAUUCAAUCAGUACAAUUUUUAGAUGGAAAAUAGACAAAUUACUUUGGUGAUUUCUUUGUCCUGAUUUUGUGAUAAAAAGGAAUGACAUUAAUUUGUGACAAAGUCUAACAAUCGAAACAACAGUGUAGACAGUAGGUAGUGACAAUGUCUUGUCCGUCCAUCCUUUCAUUUGGGUAAUGAGGUAUAAUUUGACAUCCCUCUGGUUUUGAAUUUCUCUGAAUUGAUUAGUUAAUCUCUUUUUGACUUGAAUUGUAAGGAUCACAAAUCCGUCAUGAUGUGUUGUAUCGCCUCACAACACUACAUUGUUGUAAUUGCCACGACACUCUUAUCAUUUUUGUCAUCAAGUAACUAUUUGAUCACAUUACUUAUUUAUGAUACAUAUAAGAAAUAAGCUUUAUGCGGUGUUUUAACUUUGUACGAUUGAAACAUUUGACACUUUCUUGAAACUAUAAUAAAUUUGAUUUUGGCAAAAUGGGUAAUGUGUUUGUGUACAUAUAUUUGAGACUCAAAUCGAGCUACAUUAUGUAUUUACUUGUCGUCUUUUAAAAGUCUUUUCAACUAUUGAUUUAAAUACCAGCAUCUUGCUACAAAUUAGCAGUUAGUUUCUGCUUCUUUCUUUAAUGUAGAAUAUUGAGUCUCAGAAAUGGCGGAGACUGAUGUUAGGCCUGAUGGGAUGAUAUUUUUCACACUGCUAAUAGGAUGUAACAAUGGGUGAUUUUAUUCAUGAAGUUAGCAGAUUCUUUGAAUAAAUAGAAGGGGUUCAUGAUGUUUGUCAAGAACUAAAACAUUAUGGGUGUAUGGUUGAUUUUUUGGCAUGUGCGGCGUUCAUUAAAGAAGCUCUGUAAAUGAUACAGGUCAUGCCAAUGGUUGUUGAUGUGUUUGUCUAAGACUGUUUCCUAGGUCGGGUUAUAUGUCGCUCACAUAUAUCAGUAUUCUUAUUUAUCUUUUCUCUCAAUUUUUAUGUCUUCAUUGUGGUUAUUUCCUCCGUCUCUUUCUCUUUUUCUGUCAGCAAAAAACAACUUUUUCUCCUCCUUUUUUAUAUCCUUAUGGCAAUCACAAAUAGAGUCAGACCGUAGCUGACUGAUUUACAGAGUUGCUAUAAUAACGAGCUCCUAAAUGAGGUAUCCAGUUUGAAACGACUAUGGUGCUGCUUGGACAGUGUUCUCCCUUGAUAUCUUUUAAAUUGUGUAUUUAUUUUUCAAAAGCUUCAAAUUUACUGAUUUGACAAACUGAACCAAAAAUGUUUUCUGUUUAGCUUUGUUCAUCUAAUGAUCUAGAUGCAAUAUUUAAAUUAUAUGACUUCCAUUAUAAUCUCAAUAACAAUUUAAGUUCGUGGGGCAACUGGUUAUACAUGAAAGUUUAAAGAACUUAGUUAUUAUUUUACCUGAAAAGAAUUUAAUCCAUCAUUUUGAGAACAACUAAAAAGAACUGUACUAUUUUUCCAUUUAGGUCAUAUAUUUACAUAAUUAUGUAUUUAUGUGUGAAUGUGGCCUCAUUCCAUGAGACAAUAAUAAUAACAACAACAUAGCCAGUGUAGUCUCACAUAGUGGGUUUGGGGAGGAUAGAGUGUACGCAGACCUUACCUCCGAGGCUAUUUCUAAUAGACCAUUGGCUCAAGGGAAAAACAUUCUAGGAAAAUACAUUUGGGGAGCACCAAGGCUAAAAGUUCUUUUGAAAAGACCACAACUUUAGCAUCUCUAACUGUUCCAAGAGUAUUAUGAUUGUACACAAAUUUAUAGCUUUUGUAAUUGUAUAACAUAUUCAUAAUAUUUUGUCUGAAUAUUUCCUUUUUAAUUGGUUAUUAUAUAUUUUCAUAGUCCAUUGUGAUGGGGUAGAAUGUUCGUGAGGAAGCUCAAAAGGCAUAAGGGAAAAACCAAAACCCAAGAAGAAGUCCUUCCUUCCUACGUAUUUAAUAGUAUGUCCUUUUGCUUAAAUUUAAUGGAUAAUUUGGUGUGGCGAGUAAUCUAUGUAGUUUCUUUUUCUAAAAAGAAUAACAAUGAUACUCUUGAACAUGUAGAUAAGAUUAGUGUUUUGUGUUAUUUCUCUAAAUAAUUAUAAUUUUGAAUUUGUGUUAUCUUUAUGUUUAUAUGGAACAGAGUCCUUCGAAAAGAAGGAUCAUAUCACAUUA